ensembl:lncRNA
CCUUCAUCCACAGAACUCUGCUCCUUCACCCACAGAACUCUGCUCCUUCACCCACAGAACUCUGCUCCUUCACCCACAAAACUCUGCUUCUUCAUCCACAGAACUGCUCCUUCAUCCACAGAACUGCUCCUUCAUCCACAAGUUGUUUACACCCACAGAACUGCUCCUUCAUCCACAAGGUGUUUACACCCACAGAACUGCUCCUUCACCCACAGAACUGCUCCUUCAUCCACAGAACUGCUCCUUCACCCACAGAACUGCUCCUUCACCCACAGAACUGCUCCUUCAUCCACAGAACUGCUCCUUCACCCACAGAACUGCUCCUUCACCAACAAGGUGUUUACACCCACAGAACUGCUCCUUCAUCCACAGAACUGCUCCAUCACCCACAAGGUGUUUACACCCACAAGGUGUUUACACCCACAGAACUGCUCCUUCAUCCACAGAACUGCUCCUUCACCAACAAGGUGUUUACACCCACAGAACUGCUCCAUCACCCACAACGUGUUUACACCCACAGAACUGCUCCUUCAUCCACA